ACUUUACGUUUGGUGAUUCAAGAUGAAGGUCUUAUUGUUUUCACUAGUCUUGGCAAUUGUGACAGUGUAUGUCUAUUCCGAGUCGUGCACGGGUACAAAUGUAAGUGGAUGUACUGUCACUCAUUGUGAUCGUGUUACCCAUCCGGCAUGUGUACAGGGAAUAUGCACGUGCGAACUGACCGCCGAUCACACUUGUAGCACUAAAGCGGAAUGCGUGGCCUAUACCGACUGGAUUUGCAACCGUCAAAAACACUGCGUCGAUGGCAAAUGCCAUUGCGGAAAUGUAUAAAAGAUAUGGCACCAUUGUGACGGCAGCUGAUGGUAAUAAAACGUAUAAUAAAAUCAA